rnacentral:rRNA from 1 species
UGCAGAAUCCCGUGAACCAUCGAGUCUUUGAACGCAAGUUGCGCCCGAAUCCAUCCGGUCGAGGGCACGUCUGCCUGGGUGUCACGU